AGAAAGCAGAGGAGUGGAGCCUCCAGAGACCAGGACUGAGGACCACAAGGACACAUGCUGAACACAAGGCUGUCUCUACAGUGCCCAUUCACUGUAAACUAGAAGCGCCCUGGAUUACAUCACCCUGGACCUCUACAGUACCUAAACUGUUCCUCCUUGCCUCAUGAAGGAACGGAAGAGUUAGGACCCAGUGAGAGGCUUGCUGAGGCGUCAGAAUAAGGCUGUAAAGGUGGAACUCUGUUUUCUAUAACAGAUUUUCAAGUAAUCUGAAUGAGAGUAAGUCGCUCCG
rnacentral:lncRNA from 1 species